rnacentral:rRNA from 1 species
AUACAGAGGGUGCAAACGUUGUUCGGAAUCACUGGGCUUAAAGCGCGCGUAGGCGGCGACAUCAGUGUCUUGUGAAAGCCCCCGGCUCAACCGGGGAACUGCAGGGCAUACUGUGUUGCUAGAGUACGAGAGGGGAGAGGAGAACUCCUGGUGGAGCGGUGGAAUGCGUAGAUAUCAGGAGGAAUGCCGAAGGUGAAGACACCUCUCUGGCUCGUAACUGACGUUAAGGCGCGAAAGCUAGGGUAGCGAACGGGAUUAGAAACCCCAGUAGUCC